rnacentral:lncRNA from 1 species
GCCGCCAUCGAACCACAGAGCCGCCACACCCCUGUGCUUCCUUCUCGGCGCCGAGAUCCAUCCUCCUGCCUCUGCUCCGCCGCCGGUCAUCCCUAUCCCGAACCCUCAUCACCUUCCACCUCCCCUCUUUCCCCUCAUCCCUUUUUUCUUCGGCCACUGUAACUCACCCGAGCCCAACACCCCACCAAAAACCUCACCCGAGUCCCAUCAGCCUCCUAUCUAAGCCGCAGUCUACCAAGGCCUUCGGGCCCAAUUCCCCCAGCCCUUCUCUCAAGAUCCAUCAGCCCAUUGUUUUACAGGCCCAUAGCUGCAGGCCCACAGGUCAGUCAGGUCCCGUGCCGCUGAUUGUCUUCCCGCCAAAUUGCUGUAAUCAGGUCUGGUUGAAGUCAUUUGCCGAGCCUACUUGCUGUGCUGUACUCUGGUCGUCUGCUUCACGACAGGUGAUUGGUUUCCACUUUUCUUGGGCUUGUUCAUUUAAUUAUGUUCUAGUUCUCUUGCAUGAUAGCCAUAUUUUUGAAACUUAUUUUUGCUGUCAAAAUUCAGAACAUAUAACCCGUACUUUCAAACCCAUCCUAUUCGUCCUUUAAAAUCUAGAUAUUAAAUUAGCACACCCUAGCAACUGGACGUUUCUUAACAUCCUUCGAUCAGAUUACUUUAGGAUCAGAAUAACUGUACUACUUGAUUGCAAUCUAAUUUCUUAAAUUGAAUAAUUUUAAUCUUUAAUUCCAAAUAAACGAAGUAAAAAUCAACAACAUUUAAACUUUAAGUUAUUUUUGUGAAAACUUCCUGAUCUCUGAAAUCAUAAUAGAUUGCAUUAGUAGGUUGUUCUGCAUCAAAUUUGGUCCUACAUCAUAUUUAUUAGGGUUUCAUUAGUGAUACUACAUUUCACAUCAUCACCUAGUGUCGUCAUUGCAUGCCAACCCAUAGUGAUAGGGAGUACUAUUUCAAUCAACCUAAAAUCCCUGUAGCUACCAUGAAUUCCGACGUUUUGAGAUCUCUCAUGGAACAGUUCGAUGCCAUGUGGGCUGGAAACGAGAAAUUCAAAAAAGAAAUCCGUGAGCUCAUGCGAAAUUCUAAGAUUCCUAAACUGUCAAUCU